ensembl:snoRNA
AUCAUAUUUCCACAUAAAAACUUGUAUAUGAUGAUCCUUUUGAUGUGUUCAUGCAUGCAUGUGUGAGCCACCCUCGAACCUUGUUAUGGCAUUAGCACAUUACCCAUCCGACA